rnacentral:misc_RNA from 1 species
GAAAUGCGAUAAGUAAUGUGAAUUGCAGAAUUCCGUGAAUCAUUGAAUCUUUGAACGCACAUUGCGCCCUCUGGUAUUCCGGGGGGCAUGCCUGUCCGAGCGUCAUUGCGAACCCCUCAAGCACGGCUUGUGUGAUGGGCCCUCCCGCGUCUUGGUCGUCAAGACGGGCCCGAAAUGCAGUGGCGGCUUCGCGGUUAUCCGAUCAGCCAGAGCGUAUGGGGACUUUCUCUCUGUCACACGCCCGCGGCGCGGACCGACGCCUGUCGACCUUCAUUCAUCGUUUUCUCGGUUGACCUCGGAUCAGGUAGGGAUACCCGCUGAACUUAAGC